GACGUAGGGCGCGAGCGUUGUCCGGAUUUAUUGGGCGUAAAGAGCUCGUAGGCGGCUUGUCGCGUCGACUGUGAAAACCCAUGGCUCAACCAUGGGCUUGCAGUCGAUACGGGCGGGCUAGAGUUCGGUAGGGGAGACUGGAAUUCCUGGUGUAGCGGUGAAAUGCGCAGAUAUCAGGAGGAACACCGGUGGCGAAGGCGGAUCUCUGGGCCAUUACUGACGCUGAGGAGCGAAAGCGUGGGGAGCGAACAGG
rnacentral:rRNA from 1 species